GACUUCGACAUGAAUUUUGGCAUUAAAAUGUAUAAAAAAUAAAGUUAAAGAAAUCUAGCACAGCUUCUGCCGAGUGUCCCCCAGGAGCCGAAUAAGUUUCGCCAAAAAGCAUAAACAAUCGCUACCUGUAUUAUGGCCAAACUUUUCCUCCGAAACUUUAUCGGAAAGAUUUGGGCCGCUCCUUGAAUGGAAUUUAUGGCCAAGCAAUGGUUAAAACUCGACUUUAAUCGAAUCUGAACAGAUGCAAGGGGUCU